UACCUAGUGCUAAAUUCAUUUCCCUUGAUCCUAUCCUAUCCAAUCACCGUCAUCGUCUUUACCUCCGAGUUACAACAACCAAUGAGGACGCUGGAAGAUUAUAAGAAACUUCAGAGCUGUCUUCAAUCCUAACCGUCAAUGUGACCUCCGCAAUCAACGAGUAAUUACGUGUAUAAGAAAAUAUUAAUAACAUUGUUGUGCUGUAAACUGUAAACAUUUAAAGCGUUGCCGCUUACAUAAUUUGAAGUGCUGUGUUAAUAGACAAUAUUUUAGUGUGUGUACAUUGGUGACAAAGUGACGGAAGGAAUCAAGGCGCCUGCACAGGACAUCGUAUGAUAGCCCACGACAAGACGGAGGCAAACGAGCUUGACUCACCUGAUGUGGUACCCUGCACUUUGGUUGUUUUGUUAAGAGAGGGACUGGCUGAAAACCAGCGCUGUGCAGCUGUUCACAUUGCGCUGGGACACUCACAGCUUCAACUGAGCCGGUUCCUUUUGACGAGUAUGUGACACUUUUUGUAUAUGUUAUUUAUAUUUUAUAUUGUAAUUGUAAGGCAAUAAAAUGUUAUUAUUCUAUCCAUAUCUCCGAAUCAAUAUUGUACUAGCAGUAUCCCGCGG